GCCAGGUAUGGUGGCGCACACCUGUAAUCCCAGCAGCUUGGGAGGCUGAAGCAGGAGAAUCACAAGUUCAAAGCCAGCCUCAGCAAAAGUGAGGGGCUAAGCAACUCAGUGAGACCCUGUCUCUA
rnacentral:sRNA from 1 species